GAUGAACGCUGGCGGCGUGCCUAAUACAUGCAAGUCGAGCGAACAGAUGAGGAGCUUGCUCCUCUGACGCUAGCGGCGGACGGGUGAGUAACACGUGGAUAACCUACCUAUAAGACUGGGAUAACUUCGGGAAACCGGAGCUAAUACCGGAUAAUAUAUUGAACCGCAUGGUUCAAUAGUGAAAGACGGUUUUGCUGUCACUUAUAGAUGGAUCCGCGCCGCAUUAGCUAGUUGGUAAGGUAACGGCUUACCAAGGCAACGAUGCGUAGCCGACCUGAGAGGGUGAUCGGCCACACUGGAACUGAGACACGGUCCAGACUCCUACGGGAGGCAGCAGUAGGGAAUCUUCCGCAAUGGGCGAAAGCCUGACGGAGCAACGCCGCGUGAGUGAUGAGGUCUUCGGAUCGUAAAACUCUGUUAUUAGGGAAGAACAAAUGUGUAAGUAACUAUGCACGUCUUGACGGUACCUAAUCAGAAAGCCACGGCUAACUACGUG
rnacentral:rRNA from 1 species